rnacentral:rRNA from 1 species
AAUCACUUGUCCUUUAAAUGGGGACCUGUAUGAAUGGCACGACGAGGGCUUAGCUGUCUCCNCCAACCAGUCAAUGAAAUUGAUCUCCCCGUGCAGAAGCGGGGGUAANAACAUAAGACGAGAAGACCCUAUGGAGCUUUAGACGCCAGGGCAGACCAUGUCAAGCACCCUCACCCCCAGGAGUAAACCAAGUGUACCCCCUGCUCAAGUGUCUUCGGUUGGGGCGACCACGGGGCAAUAAAAAACCCCCACGCGGACGGACACACCCCCCUUAAACAAAGAGUUCCCACUCUAAUUAACAGAAUUUCUGACCAUAAAGAUCCGGCAACGCCGAUCAACGGACCGAGUUACCCUAGGGAUAACAGCGCAAUCCCCUUCAAGAGACCA